rnacentral:lncRNA from 1 species
ACAAGGCCAUAACCAAAGUCUCUAAGUAGUUUUGGACAAGGACAAGUCUUGUAAGAUGUGAUGAUUAACUGGAGCGGCAGCCAUAUUUUCCAGUGUUUUCUCAAGUGAUGCGAGUGCCCUGUGCUGUGAGUUUUAGUUUUUGUGAACUUAAAGCAACAUGUACCAGAACAACAAGAGAUGUAGCAGAAACAGCAGGACCAAGCGUAUUAUCGCCAAGGCUCUCACAGACACAACCAAUACACAACAACAGCAUAACAGGACAACAAAGCAGAUUACAGGAGUUGAAGAUGAUACAGAAAAAGAAAAUGAGAGCUCCAUUUCUAUUGCCUCUGUAGCUGCUCUUCCAAAAAUGACUUUUGCGGAGAAGAUUAACGCUUACAGGAAAAGCAGAGGCGAGACGAAAGCAGCUAAAAGAAAACUGCCUUUUCUCUCAGAUGACGAUAUAUAUGAGCCUGACACCUUCGAUGAUUUCCAAACGCUGCCAGAAAUUGUUAAUGGAACCGAUUUACAAGGUGGUUCUCAUACACUAGAGGUUCCUGUGCUACAUAGUAUUAUCCAGAGAGAUCAUCAUUCUCCGCAACCACCAAUGAUCUCCAAUUCUGUGCAGCUUUCUACCCAGCCAUCACCUGUAAUUAGUGCGUCUCAGUCAGCAACUCCUGUUUUGCCUCCAAACUUUGUCCUUUCCUCGAUUGUAGCAAGCCCUAAGCAAGAUCAGGCAAUAUUGAAUGAAACAGAUUUGCAAGGAGGUCACCAUACACCAAGGGUUCCUGUGCAACCUAGUAUUAUCCAGAAAGAUCAUCAUUCUCCGCAACCACCAAUGAUCUCCAAUUCUGUGCAGCCUUCUACCCAGCUAUCACCUGUAAUUAGUGCGUCUCAGUCAGCAACUCCUGUUUUGCCUCCAAAUUUUGUCCUUUCGUCGAUUGUAGCAAGCCCUAAGCAAGAUCAGGCAAUAUUGAAUGAAACAGAUUUGCAAGGAGGUCACCAUACACCAAGGGUUCCUGUGCAACCUAGUAUUAUCCAGAAAGAUCAUCAUUCUCCGCAACCACCAAUGAUCUCCAAUUCUGUGCAGCUUUCUACCCAGCCAUCACCUGUAAUUAGUGCGUCUCAGUCAGCAACUCCUGUUUUGCCUCCAAACUUUGUCCUUUCCUCGAUUGUAGCAAGCCCUAAGCAAGAUCAGGCAAUAUUGAAUGAAACAGAUUUGCAAGGAGGUCACCAUACACCAAGGGUUCCUGUGCAACCUAGUAUUAUCCAGAAAGAUCAUCAUUCUCCGCAACCACCAAUGAUCUCCAAUUCUGUGCAGCCUUCUACCAGCGAUCACCUGUAAUUAGUCCGUCUCAGUCAGUGAGUCCUGUUUUGCCUUCAAAUGUGACUGGUAGUAUUCUGUCGCCAAUUGCAGGAAGUUCUAAGUCAGAUAAGCCAAUAUUAAAGGAAAAUAAACUCUAUGAGUUUUUACAGGGAAGCUCUGAUGGAAGAACAAUCAUUCAGCAUUACCUGAACAAUUCAAAACUUAACAAGCAGACACGGCUGCUCCUGAGUGAUUUAAUUGUGCGCUCUGAACUUCAAGCAGACCCAAACAAGCUAUUGGGAACGAAGGAUUUUUCGCUUUUUGCCUCUUUAAUAAAUGAAGUCUUUCCCCGAGAGUCCAUUAAUUCAUAUUACAUUCCAGCAGCUUGUGUUAACGGGAAAAAAAAAAGUAGCAACUGGAAUGCUUUACAACAAGUAUACUAAUCUUUGCUCCACCUACAUUAAUUAUGGAAUCAGGGCUAAAAGACGAAAGAAGAAAGAGACUCCAUCAUUCUCUUACAAUUUGGGUAAUUAUAUUUUUCUCUGAAGUAAUGAGUAACUAAGCAAAGUUGAAUUUUAAAAAUUCUAAAAGUGUAUCUCUUAAUCAAAGUAGUAGAAAGUAAUGUGGCCACUUUUACUUACAAGGCUUCAAUACAAAUCGCUCAGAAAAGUUAAAUUUGCUCUUUGAGUUUAAAGUCUUAUCUUGGAAUCAUUCCGACUUAUUUUUAUGACGAUAAAUUAAAUUUGCACCCUGCUUAUCCAAAAAAGUAUAUUAAAUAAGUACUAGAUAUAUUUACAUGUAGAAUACUUAAUAUUUUAACAAAUGAAACACUUAAUGCGUUAACAAAUGGGUACCAAUUUUAAUCACCAGUGUAUUCUAUGCUGUAAGUAAAAUAAUUUGUCUUGUGUUUUCAGAACUAAGUGACGAACAGUACAAAGAGGACAUAAAUUGGUUAGAAUCGCGCAUUCAUCCAUGGGAGUUAGCAGUGCAGAAAUGGGCCGCAACAGCUAAUCGGAGGUUGCAUGAUUUUGAAACGUCAGAAUCAACCAUUGAUGAAUACAUUGAAAAGUUCCCCAUCUUGAGCUCAGCGAAUGCAUCUCAAUUGGUAAGUUCAUUUCCGCGAUUCAAAACUUAAUUUGCUUUUCUUCCACCAAAAUAUUUAAUUUUUUAAAGACCAGUUUUUGUUUGGUAGUAUUUUUAAGAACUUUCAAUCAUUUCUGUAUUGUUGCCAUAUUGAGUCUACUUGAAAACUAAUGAGAUGAAAUGAAUAUCAUUUGGAAUCAUAAGACCAAGUGCUGGGAGCGCUAAAAGUUCUCUGGAAAAGUAUUUUUUCUAUGAAAAUAAUGCCAUGAGUAUAAUUUGAACACAAAAUGCAAGGUAUUAAUGCAACGAGUUGUGCAAUAAGUUGCUCUCUAUAAAUGGUUUAGUACUAGGAUGUGAAUAAGUAGAACACUGAUUAUCUUUGUAAGUAGUAAACUUUAAAAUCUGUCAUUGGUGGAGUUGUUUUUUACUCAGGAUUUUAAAUUUCAAGAUUUUAUAAAUUCAAUAGGUGUUUCAUGCCCUGGAAAUUUUAGCUGGAACCCAAAUUUUGAUUUUUUUCACCAUACGCCUUGAUAGUCUAGAUUUAGCAACUAUGACUAUAGUGGAAGAAACUCUUCUGAUCUUGAUUUAUUUUUAAUGUAUGGUUGAUUAAACUUUCCCUUUUAUUACUGUUUUUUUGUUGUUUCAUAAGUUCAUUCAAUGCAAAGUAUUUUAUUGUCCAAGUGCUCUAAAGUCUUAUUUGGUGUUCUUUUCAGAUUGAAAUUGACUUCAGUGUCAGAUAUGAACAACAGAGGAACUUACUACACAAUGUGUGGCCACAUUUGAAAAAAAGCAUUCUUUCUUUUGCAAAAACUAAAUUACCAAGAGAUGCAACAUUUGCUAGGGGAAUAAGAAGAUUGCAUGCGGAUCUUGAUUCUGAAAGUAUGUAUCAUUGUGGUUCUUCCUUUUAACCAGUACAAGUCUGCCCAAAUCCUUUAUGGGCCCCGGGACGAAUUGAAGUGACCGGACCUAGGGGCAAGGUGGCAUGAAACAUAAGAAAAAAAUGAAAGAUUGGAAAUUUCAGUGAAAUAUUUCAUGACAUUUUACAAGGCUGUGAAAUAUUUCAUAUUUUUAAGGGGCUAGAGUAUGCAACCCGCACUUAAACAUACAAAAAUAGAAGAAAGCUACAAUUUUUACAUUUUGCAAAACAUGAGAAGGGACAGGUAUUUUUCAAAAUCUUUCAUAAAUUUCUGAUAUUUCAUGACAUAUUUCAAGUGAAAUCUCAAGAU